rnacentral:rRNA from 1 species
GAUGAACGCUGGCGGCGUGCCUAAUACAUGCAAGUCGAACGAGAUGCUUUUGUAGCAAUACGAGAGUAUUCUAGUGGCGAACGGGUGAGUAACGCGUUGGUGACCUACCCCAAAGUGUGGGAUAACAGUCCGAAAGGAUUGCUAAUACCGCAUGUGGUCUUCGGAUUUAGAAACUGAUGACUAAAGGAGCAAUUCGCUUUGGGAGGGACCUGCGUCCCAUCAGCUAGUUGGUGAGGUAAUGGCUCACCAAGGCGACGACGGGUAGGGGACCUGAGAGGGUGACCCCCCACAAUGGAACUGAAACACGGUCCAUACACCUACGGGUGGCAGCAGUAGGGAAUAUUGCUCAAUGGGCGAAAGCCUGAAGCAGCAACGCCGCGUGUGCGAUGAAGGCCUUCGGGUCGUAAAGCACUUUUCUGAGAGA